GAACGCUAGCGGCAGGCUUAACACAUGCAAGUCGAGGGGCAGCGCGGGGUAGCAAUACUCUGGCGGCGACCGGCGAAAGGGUGAGUAACGCGUGAGCAACAUGCCCGAUAGAGGGGGAUAGUCAUUGGAAACGAUGCGUAAUACCCCGUAACAUUCGGAACCGCAUGAUUCUGAAUUGAAAGAUUUAUUGCUAUCGGAUUGGCUCGCGUACCAUUAGCUAGUUGGCGGGGUAACGGCCCACCAAGGCGACGAUGGUUAGGGGUUCUGAGAGGAAGGUCCCCCACAUUGGAACUGAGACACGGACCAGACUCCUGCGGGAGGCAGCAGUAAGGGAUAUUGGGCAAUGGGCGCAAGCCUGAACCAGCCAUGCCGCGUGCAGGAAUGAGGCCCUAUGGGUCGUAAACUGCUUUUGCUGCGGAGCAAUAAGGGUUACGUGUAAUCUGAUGAGAGUACGCAGCGAAUAAGCAUCGGCUAACUCCGUGCC
rnacentral:rRNA from 1 species